rnacentral:lncRNA from 1 species
CUAACAGGGUUAAUACGCUGGACAAAGGGAUGAUUCCUAUCCUGGGUGAAAUGAAGCAAAACGAUGUGGGAUUUAUCACGCUAUUCAAAACAACAGGCAAUUUAAAAUGAGCAAGCACCAUUUCAAGGGACACAAAACAGGCUAUUUCAGCAUCGCCUCUGCCUUCACAGCCCUUGCCGAUCAAUCUUUUUCAGAGGAUAAGAGAUAAGACACAGGGGUGAGAACCAGGGGGAAAUCAUCAAAGAAGUGUAAAGAGAGCCAGGGCAGAGAAAAGAGGAGUGAAAAAUAGAGAUCACAGGGAAAAUAUUCUUGUUAUGCAUCAGCUCUUUCUUAAGUGGUGUUUGUCACAGUGCUUAUUUCAAUUGGAAUGUGGAGAAACAUCAAUGUCCUGCUACAUUACUGCCAAGGCAAGGGUGAAAAAUGGGCAGAAGAUUCUUGUCCCCUUCCUCUCUUC